UUUCACAAGCCUGACAAUUUUAUUAUCUCAAAAAGUCUAUACUUAGUCUAUACAAUGACACAGUUCUGAAAAUACAGAAAUCUUUGAUUACCCAAUUAGUGUAUAAAGUGGCUAGGAUUAAAUUUGCGCAGACCCGGCAAAACUAUGACGCUAUGGCUGUACUGAUUACAUCGGGAGAGAAGAAGUUCAUGACAACUGUUGAACCAAAAGUUUAGAUCUCAGAAUGAGGCCAUUAUCGGUCACAGUCUGUUUAGUUUUCACUAAUAUUCUGUGGAGUUACUGCGACGUGUUGCCUUCCUCUCCAGCUCACGAGAGGUUAACAGCGGCCUCGCUAUGUCAGUUUGGGUCAGCCCUCCAUGUCCGGCUCAUCCAGGAAGGCUGAUGAAAGCAGAGAGAAUGUAUGAACAGAUAGCAGGAGAAUUCACAUUAUUUCCCCCAUGGCAUUGUGCAUCUCCUGAGAAGCUGGCAGAGCAAUACAGGCUGCCCAUUCAGACUGUCCCUUGGGUUUGGCAACAUUCCCUGAGAAGGAGGAGAAGGCAGAACAAUGAUAUAUACAUUCCAAGACAAUGCUGCCACCCCAGCCAACCAAUGGCAGACUCAGCUCCAUCGGCAUAUCCUCUGCACUGGAAACUGCUCGGCUGGCUGUGCCCGGAUCCCGGCUUCUGAUUGGCUUCUGCAGGGAGGCAGUGGCUGGACGUCAGAGCUCUGAGAGUGGGGGCCCUCGGCAUUGUUUUGGCUAUUUGUAAAUAGUAGAACAUGUGUUAUUUACCCUUCAUAUUGUGCCAGGCAGCAAGAUAAUCACAGUUCAAGCAGAGAAUACGUUAAGGAGGAUCUGUAAG